rnacentral:sRNA from 1 species
CUUGGCGUCGGUGUAGCGGCCGGGAGCGUCACCGAACUCGGCGAGCACCCGGGCGCCGAGGAUCGGCCCGAUGCCGGGCUGG